AGAGUUUGAUUAUGGCUCAGGAUGAACGCUGGCGGCGUGCUUAACACAUGCAAGUCGAACGGAGAUUACUUUUAGCUUGCUAAGUUGUAAUCUUAGUGGCGGACGGGUGAGUAACGCGUGGGUAACCUGCCUUAUCCAGGGGGAUAACAGUUAGAAAUGACUGCUAAUACCGCAUAAGCGCACAGUUUCGCAUGAAACAGUGUGAAAAGAUUUAUCGGGAUAAGAUGGACCCGCGUCUGAUUAGCUAGUUGGUGAGGUAACGGCCCACCAAGGCGACGAUCAGUAGCCGGCCUGAGAGGGUGAACGGCCACAUUGGGACUGAGACACGGCCCAAACUCCUACGGGAGGCAGCAGUGGGGAAUAUUGCACAAUGGGGGAAACCCCGAAUGCAGCGACGCCGCGUGAGUGAAGAAGUAUUUCGGUAUGUAAAGCUCUAUCAGCAGGGAAGAAAAUGACGGUACCUGACUAAGAAGCCCCGGCUAACUACGUGCCAGCCGCCGC
rnacentral:rRNA from 1 species